rnacentral:tRNA from 4 species
GCAAGUGUAGCUCAGAGGUAGAGCGGAGGCUUGAUACACCUCGCGUCGACGGUUCGAUUCCGUCCGCUUGCA